CGGCUCUCAAGACAGAGGAAGGCCACCCAUUCUCCCUGACCCAUGUGGGUUCCUUCUCCACUAUGGGAUCGGGAUGUAAAUAAUGUUUUUAGUUUUAGUAGAGCAGUUAGCUUUGUGUGGUUAGAGGGAUAUCUUAAGGGCUGCUAGGUUGUUUGCCGUGUUUAUGGUUUUCUAAUUUCUUUUGUUUUCUGUUUGAUGCUUGCAGAUCAACAUCUAUCCUCGGAAGACUGGUAGUCGGUAAUCUCGGGGACAUUUACGUUUUCAUGCGAUGGCUUUCCCGAUCCCUCGAAGGCAACAAGAGAUUGAGAGUGUAAUAUCUCUGUUUAGCCUUCCAGAUCAUCCAGUUUUUCAUGGUUCUACUCUCUUUGAGCUUGCAAUUAUGGGUCCUUCUUUGGCUUUGCAUGUGUUUCAAGGGUUAUAAUAAUGGGGAAUCCUUUUCAUUGACAUGGCUCCCAUUGUGCUUCCCGUGGAUCUCUUCAUCUUCCCCAGAACCGGUUCACCAGCGAUCGCAGCACUGCAUCUUGUCAGGCGGCUUCAUCUUGUUCGGUGCUCCCAGGCUGCUUAGAAUUAUGUUUUGUUUGGGUUGUGGGCCUCUUUUUAGGAGGUUUAGUGGACCUUCUUCUAUAUCUAUUUUUG
rnacentral:misc_RNA from 1 species